rnacentral:misc_RNA from 1 species
UCCCCGUUACCGGGGCAGUCUAGCCAGAAAAAUUCAACUGACUAUAAGGGUUGCGCUCGUUGAAGGACUUAACCUAACAUCUCACGACACGAGCUGACGACGGCCAUGCAGCACCUGUCACUGCGGCCCGAAGGCACAGCCUCCUUUCAGAGGCCUUGGCAGGAUGUCAAACCCUGGUAAGGUUCUUCGCUUACCGUCGAAUUAAACAACACGCUCCACCGCUUGUGCGGGUCCCCGUCAAUUCCUUUAUGUUUUAAGCUUGCGCUCGUACUCCACAGGCGGGAUGCUUAACGCGUUAGCUUCGCUACUACCAGGGUCGAUACUGAUAACAGCUAGCAUCCAUAGUUUACGGCGUGGACUAC